AACGAACGCUGGCGGCAUGCCUAACACAUGCAAGUCGAACGAACCCUUCGGGGUUAGUGGCGCACGGGUGCGUAACGCGUGGGAAUCUGCCCUUUGCUUCGGAAUAACUCAGGGAAACUUGUGCUAAUACCGGAUGAUGUCUUCGGACCAAAGAUUUAUCGGCAAGGGAUGAGCCCGCGUAGGAUUAGGUAGUUGGUGGGGUAAAGGCCUACCAAGCCGACGAUCCUUAGCUGGGCUGAGAGGAUGAUCAGCCACACUGGGACUGAGACACGGCCCAGACUCCUACGGGAGGCAGCAGUGGGGAAUAUUGGACAAUGGGCGCAAGCCUGAUCCAGCAAUGCCGCGUGAGUGAUGAAGGCCCUCGGGUCGUAAAGCUCUUUUACCAGGGAUGAUAAUGACAGUACCUGGAGAAUAAGCUCCGGCUAACUCCGUG
rnacentral:rRNA from 1 species